AAAUACAAGUUGUAGUUCAUCUCGAGAGGAGUUCGUGAGCGCAAACGGUUCGUAAAUCGGAGUUCGGACGAGGGAGAACGAGCCAAAACAAAAUCACUGCGCAAGGCCGCGCGAGGUCGCGCGGUCCAGGCGCGCGGCCGCGCGACCCGACCGCGCGACGAUGGCAGAAGUUGCUGGACUGCUCACGCGGGCACAGCGCGCGGGCGCGCGAG
rnacentral:lncRNA from 1 species